rnacentral:lncRNA from 1 species
CAAAUUAAGUGUGAUGUGUAUCACAACGAGGGAGUCUUCUUUGUAGAAGUCACACUAUCAAUAUAUAAUAAUACCAUUAAAGGAUGAACCCUUAACCGGCUUGCACUCUUCUACGUUAUUUCAGAGGUGGGCCCCUCACAUUACUUUAUCUUCUCUCUCAACCUUCCUCUCACAGUGGCCCUUCUCUUUCUCACUCUUUUUCUUACAUUGACCCUUCUCUUUCUCACUCUUUUUCUCUCUCUUUACUGCCGCCUUAGCUUCUCCAUACUGCUCCUAUGCUAUUCCGAGGCCGUACUUUCCACUUGAGGCUUUUCUUCUCUCCCUCUAUCUCAAUCUCUCACCAGUCCUAUGUGCCCUUAGGGUUAGCAUCCUCUCUAGCGCAUUAAUGGCGCCACACGGUCGCUGCUGGCGCGGAGAUCGUUUUCUCUAUUCGCUAUACACCUGUAUCUACCAUGGAUCCGGGCGUUUAAUGCCGCCGUGAAACCGCUACUUCUCCAGAGAUAGAUCACGCCCCCCCACUGUACGCCUAUAUUUACCCCGGAUCUAGGCAUUUCAUGCUCGCCAUGGAACCACCGGCUUCUCCGAAGAGAUUAAUCCUCUCUACUUUGGUCUAGGGUUGGUACUCUCUCCCUCUUUUGCUCUCGAUUUGUGUUGUACCACCCGUCACUGUUGAUUCGAGCAUUUAAUGCCGCCAUCGAGCUCCGCCGCGAGCAAUUAGUGUCGUUGCGGAACAGUCACCUCCAGCAUGGCUAUCAUCUCACUGUUGGUACUCUCAACAUUCUAGGAUAGAGAGGAAUGAAUGUAAUUUUUUGUUUGGCAAAAUUUUUAAUUAUUUUUUGGAAUAGAUAAAAUGAUGUUUGGUAACUUUCUUGAAAUAAGAGAAGAAUAAUUGGUAAAGUUGAUUGAAAUAUUUAAAAAUGCCAAGUUUACCCUUAUUAAUAUAGUGAAUCUUUUUCUUUUGUAUAGUACACAUACAAUACUUGAUAAAUUUUAAUAUAAUUUUUCCAAACAUAAUUACAAUAUUAAAUAUUAUAAUUAAGAAAUUAUAUUUUUUUUUGUAGAGCAGUGCAAUAAAUAGUAAGUAAGAUGAUUUUAAAUUAAUUUGUACAAUUAGAAAUCUAUAAUAACCAACAAUAGAUUCAAUAGUAACUAAUUUAUUAAAGUGCCAAUAAUUUCACAUAGUUAAAUAAAAACCCUAAUAUAAACACAUUGGACUGACCAAAUUUCUAUAUACUUGGCAUUGGGAGAAGAGAUGAAGAGGACGAGGAUUUUGUUAAAUAUAAAAAUAUUUAAACACCGUUCUCUAACAGCUUAAGCUUUUAGAGUACAACGAUUGUUUCAAAUGGUAUCAGAGCAGGAGGUCCUGAGUUCGAGUCACGCCAGGCUCCUAACAUAUUAAUUUCCUCCCAUUUAAUUCAAGCCCACGUCAUGG